rnacentral:rRNA from 1 species
UACGUAGGGUGCAAGCGUUGUCCGGAAUUAUUGGGCGUAAAGAGCUCGUAGGCGGUUUGUUGCGUUGGCUGUGAAAUCCCGAGGCUCAACCUCGGGUCUGCAGUCGAUACGAGCAAACUAGAGUGUUGCAGGGGAGACUGGAAUUCCUGGUGUAGCGGUGAAAUGCGCAGAUAUCAGGAGGAACACCGGUGGCGAAGGCGGCUUUCUGGGACGGUACUGACGCUGAGACGCGAAAGCGUGGGGAGCGAACAGG